UCAGAGAACAUUCUAAACUUAGAAAAAUAUGCAAAGAGAAAACAACAAAUUUAUCAGACCCUAUGAUAGUGUCACAGAGAAGUGACUUAUAAGCUGCUAGGUGUCAGAUGAGCUGAGUGUCUCUGGAUAACUGAGGAAUGAAUACGGGAGAAAGAAGGUUAAGAGUAGGAAAAGGUUUUUGAGAGAAAGCUCCAGAAAACAAGAGGAGCCUCAAAAGUGAGUAGCUGUUUGAGGCUCUUUUUCUAGGUGCUUUUUUAUACACAGAAAUGACCAUCCUUCAAGACACUCAGCCAAGCUAAGGCCAACCUAAGCGGUUGCAGUUCCAGGAAAAGUUUUCAAGCUUUAGUCCAAUGAUCCCAUGUGCAGUGUGGGUGUUCAGCCUAACUAAAGCCAAACUACAAAACACAGCAAAAAGCUCAUGCACCACAAUAUUGAUUACAUUAUUUGUGGUACUGGAAACCUGUGAGACGUUUACCACAACAUGAAGGGAGAAGUUAAGUCAACCUUACUCCAACAGCUGCCUGGAGUUGCCAUGCGUAGAGCCUGUGUGUGCCGUGGAGGGGUGACAUGGACUCGGCAGGCAGACGUGCGCAUGUACUGGGAGACACUACGUGCAUGAAGGAUUCCCAGGUACAGUGUCCAGCAGUGGCUAGCGAUGGAAGACACUCUGGGAUGGAUAUCACACACUCAGUGCCAACAGCCGUUUUCAUCCACGACAACUGAGAUCUCCUGGAUUCCAACAUGAAAUUCGCUUUCAAUAAUUUGAGCAGAGGUCAGCCAGAGAGGCAGUUGUCUUGCCACCAUUCAGCAUAGAAUUGACAUUUUCUUCAUGGAAGAAAUACCCCUGGCCCAAGCUGUAUGACUUUCAGAAAUGGAGGAAUUAUAUAUUCAAUGCAAUAAAAAUAGGAGAAUUAUGAUGAAA